CAGAUGCCUCGUCAUCUAAUUAGUAACAUAGAUGAAUGGAUUAAUGAGAUUCUCAUUAUCCCUAGCUACUAUCUAAAGAAACCAUAGCCAAGGGAAUGGGCUUCGCAGAAUUAGCGGGGAAAGAAGACCCUAUUGAGCUUGACUCUAGUCCAACUUUGUGAAAUGUCUUGAGAGGUGUAGAAUAAGUGGGAUAUGUUUUAAUCUAUAAUACUAUGAAUCCUAGAAAAGCAAAACCAUAUCCUAUAAAUUUUAAAUGAUACAAUCUAUAAUAAAAUAUAACCCUUUAUUACCUAACAUGUACAACCUCU
rnacentral:ncRNA from 1 species